CCCUCCCCCCCUUUUACACUGCUGCUACUCUCUGUUGUUAUCAUUUAUGCAUAGUCACUUUAAUAACUCUACCUACAUGUACAUAUUACCUCGAGUAACCGGUGUCCCCGGACAUUGACUCUGUCAAUGUACCGGUACCCCCCCCAUGUGUAUAUUCUCGCUAUUGUUAUUUUACUGCUGCUAUUUAAUUACCUGUUACUUUUAUUUCUUAUUCUUAUUUGUACUGCAUUGUUGGUUAGGGGCUGGUAAGUAAGUAUUUCACUGUAAGGUCUACACCUUUUGUAUUAGGUGCAUAUGACUAAUACAAUUUGAUUUGAUUACAAAAAUACUCAGGAAACGAUCUGUCGAACAACAUAUUGCAAACACACAGUGGUGUUUUAUUGAAGCUCCAUACCCUGGGCUUCCUCCUUUCUGAUAGGACGCAGGGCAGGGCGUGUCCAAACACUGAUAUCCUCCACGAGUGUUGAAGCACAUCUGGUUGUGUCCACACUGGAUGCCUUGUACUGCACACUCAUCAAUGUCUGCAAGCAUCAGAAAGGAAACUCCGUAUCUGUAUGUGUUCUUGGCAAUGUAAACCUAGUCGUGGUGGGUGGUUUAUGUAGUGUUCAUGUGUAUUGUUCGUUUUCUCCAUACCUGUGCAGCUCCUGCCGUUGGGUAACAGCUGGUAGCCUGUAGGACAGAGGCACAGGAAACCCCCUAUUGUGUUCCGGCACUCAUGUUGGCAUGGGUUCCUCAGCAAGCACUCAUCCAGAUCUGUACAGAGACCGAUGACACAAUGAGAUGCCAAAUAUAUGACUGAACGGGAAUCCAACUACUUCGGGGAAGGGGGAAGAGACGACUCACCGACACAUGUGCCAUCUCUGUUGGUAUAGCCUAUGGGGCAGCUCUGUCUGGUGAUGCGAGAUACCCCAUGAUGCCGAGAGGGAAUGGGCCUACCCAGCGAUGACAACAGCUGUGGGCGCAGUCUUGCCCUGACACGGCUACCGUUGGAGAAGACCUGUCCUCUCUCUAGACCAGCACAAGAGCGCCCAUCCCCCGUUAACACAGUGCCUGGUGGGCAGAGGCACCGGAAGCUGCCUGGCAUGUUACGGCACUGGUGGGCACAGGGGCUUGGCAUCUGUAGGCACUCAUCAAUGUCUGAAAGGCAAAACAAGACUCAGACACUACUUAGAACAAUAUUUUAUUGGACAGUAGCAUAUUGUUUAGUGUAGUAAUACAUGUCUAUGCCAAAAUGAAGUGUCUUACCCAGGCAUGGACGGCCCACCCCCUGGGACUGAUAACCUCUGGGGCAGACACAGCCGUACCCCCCAAUGGUGUUCUGACACAUCUGGCUGUACCGGCACAAGUGGCUUCCAUCCUGGCAUUCGUCCACAUCUGUGAAUCACAAUGUUAGUAAACACAGGGCAUACUAUAAUGAUAGGAUCAGCAUUCUCACACCACAAACCUGCGUGCAACAACAUUCAAAGUAAAAGAUGGGUGAAGUAUAAAUGGCAUCAUACCGACACAGGCUCCAUUCUCUCCCAUUCUCAUGCCAGCUGGGCAGCUGUCGAAACACUGGUAGCCUCCCUCUGUGUUGCGGCACUGCUGGUGAGCUGGGCACACAUUCCUGCUGCACUCGUUGAUGUCUGUAUACAAACAAACACAAAGGGUUAGAGAUUCCACAAUUGAACUUGUAUGAUACUGGUAUGAAAGAUUUGAUUCUGUUGAUAAUAUCAUCAGUGAGUCACAGGGUCCACUGACCCAGACAGCGCUGGCCAGACAGCUGGUAGCCAGGGUUGCAGACACAGCGGAAGGAGCCCAGGGUGUUCAGACACUGCUGCUGACAGGGGGAGAGAGACGACUCCUGGCACUCAUCCACAUCUGAAACUCACACCACAGAUCAAACUCUGUUACUAAUAUGCCUUAUUGUCAGGACCUUAUUAUAAGAUGGAGACUAGAAUGUAUUCUAUUCAGUGCAUGACUGAAAAACAAUCCCCCCUCCCAAAAAAAAGUGUAUUUGUUGUGAAUAGACUUGCCUUCACAGCUGGAUCCCAUGGCGCUGGGCUUGAAGCCUGGGACACAUUUAGCCUGGCAGCGGUAUGUGCCAACCGUGUUCACACACUGCUGGUUGUAGUGGCACAUGUGGGAGCCCUGGGCACAUUCAUCAAUAUCUGUAGAGAGAUACCACAUGUGAGGUCAAACACAAGAACACUGUCUGCAAUACAGCAGUAGGAUGUAUACUUUCACAGUGAUAAUAUCACCCUGGAACCAAAUAGUGUGUGUGCUAGCUAACUGAUUCUGUUUACAUUUUAUCCCCCAACAUUCUUUUUUUUAUACAAAUUUCAAAAUAGAUGACCUUCUAAAUAUAGCAUACAAAUCACCAUGAUACCAGAUCCCUUUACAGACCGAUCACUUACUGUAACGUAAUCUAAUUAGGAGACACUGUAUAACGGUGAGAUAAAGUAUGCAGCGUUCAGUUAGUGUUUCCUGUGGCUGACCUUGACAUGUGUUGGUUUCUGGGGAGAUGGUGAAGCCAGAGGGACAGGCACAGGAGAAGCCACCCAUCACAUUGUUGCAGGAAUGUGAGCAAGGCGACGCGGCAGCACAUUCAUCCUCAUCUAAGCAUUCAGAUACAGUUUAUAAAGGUAGGAGUAGGGAGGCUGUGAUCUGGAAGUCCAGACUGAGAGUGAACAUGCUGUAGAUGCCAUCCAUCUGGGACACCUUGACGAGCUGCAGCAGUGGCCCCUGACGCUCCUCUCGGCCCUCGUAGAUGAUGGAGUGGUUACAGCGCAGCACCAUGGGACCGUCUGCUCUCUGGUGGGCCUGGGACGACCAUGAGUACAGCUGCCCUGGUCCCGUUUGCACGUAUGACUCAUCAAACUCCUGCAUGACACGAAGCAGUCAUCAUAUUAGAGAUAGAUUAUGUUGAGAUUUAAUUAAGACUUUUAUGGUUUGUCACAGUCAGGGACUUCAGCUGGCCUUCGGGUGACCGUGUUAAUCAAUACACACCUGCAGAUUGAGAUGGGAGGUUGAUAAUGUCAGAGGGACAAAGCCGUUGAUGACAAUGUCUAUUAGGAGAGCCCCCUCUGAGUCCAGACCUCUGGCUACAUGGGUCAACUGAAGGAUCUCUCCUGGUUACAAACACAAACACAACAUUCAAAUACAUCUGGGAUACAUUAUAAAACAGUCACUCGGGAGAGUUGUCUGUCUGAAGAGGACCCACCCCAUAUUUUGGGGGGGUUCUUAUUGAAGUUGCCAAAGGAGUCCGUCAUUGAAACCAGAUCCUAGUAAUAAUUUUAAAAAACUACAGUCAUGGAGAACUAUGCCCUCUGCUGGUUCUCUUAUAAUGUACAGAUUUAAAGGGACAAUUCCGCUUACGAGAGACAACCACUGUUAUUGGACUACAUUUACAGUAGAGUAAACCUUAGUUCAGGUUAAUUUACAGGAUGUUAUUGUAUCUGUUCUUCAGUGCUGACCUGUGUCAAACUCCAGCUGGGAUUCCUGUCUGAACAGGCCCUGGGUCUGGGAGUAGCCGUUCCUGGCUGCUCCAGUCUGCAGCACUGUGGUCCAGUAGAUGGGAGCAAACACAGACACCAACACCCGUAGCAAUGGACCUGCAAAACAUCAGUAGUUAGACCACAGCCUCUAUGGAAAUACCUCUGAGCAAAGUGUGAUAGGUCAGGAUACAGCAAUGGUCAGUGGCUGAGUGAUCUAUGUGCUUGAUUAUGGGAAAUAACUUUACAGCAAGUGCUUGAUUAUUGCAUUUAGAUCUGCUUCUGAGAGGCUCCUACUGGUUACUGUAAGACAUCUCUCACACUCCCAUACUCACCCACACUAGGAGGGAUGUUGUCCAGGUGGGCCUGCAGGGUGCUGGUGCCCUCUUCUGGGUUAUCUGUGAUGUUAGCCUCCAGGAACGACACCCCAAACUCCCUAUCAUUCACCACCCCAAUCAGACUCCCCCUGGCCUUACGAGGGGCCUCCCCUUCAGUCAACAGAGACAGAUACAUAAGUAUUAAGUUAUACAUGAUUUAAGAGUAGCUGUAGUACUAUACCUUCUAUGUACACACAUGAUUUAAUUGUUAAAUUCAGCUGCGUCCGUUUGGAGUGACAGGAGAACAGUUCAAACACUCGUACCUGGACAGAGUCCAAUCUGACAUCUCCUGGAGUCCCUACUGGGAGCGUCACAUGAUUUCCCCCCAUUGGCCAGCUCUGGAUUGUUGCAUAACCUGAUUCGCUCCUGAUUCCCUCGACCACAGGUGGUGCUGCAUGGGCCCCAAUCCUCCCAGUUAGAAUAACCUCCAUUGACUGUGGCAGGAGAGGGAGAGUAGGGAGGGAGACAGAGAUCAUCCAUAUAGAGAAUUAAAUAAACAAUCCAUAAUUACUAUUGUGUGUUUUCUUAUUCCUUUGAUAUAAUGGAUCGAGAGGAUCGAAUUGUAGGAAUAUUAGAUUUAUUUUAUUUAUUUAUUUAUAGGGGACAAUCAACAUUAAUCAACAUGAAUAUUACAAUAAUGCAACAUCCAUGUAAAUGUGCUGGGGUUAGCCAAAAGCUAAUUUGGGCCUGUGUAACGGUAAAGGCCUUUGCACAGCCACUAUACAAAUACUGACUAAAACAAUACAAUAUACAAAUACAUUACAUCCAAUAAUAUAUAACUCUAACAACAACAACAACAUCAACUGUCGUCUUACAUAUGAAGAACCACAGAUAACUCUGAACAGGUUUGGAUAGAUUUGAGCCAUGUUUUCAAUAAAAAUUUAAAAAUACAAUAAUCAGUGCAGCUCCUCAAGUCCAUGGGCAUUGCAUUCCAGUAUAUUGUAGCUCUAACAGAGAAGACUGAUUGACCGAUUUUACUGUGUCGAAAAGGGACACAAUCCCCUCUUACCGCCCUUGUUACUCUGGAGGUGCCUUCCUUGAGCAUUAUCCUGUAUGCCGGCAUAGGGGUGGAGGGACAAGAACAUGCAGGAUCUUAAAGACAAGGCUUGCAUCUGCAUACUGCUUAAAGCU